rnacentral:rRNA from 1 species
GGUUAACGCUGGCGGCGCGCAUAACACAUGCAAGUCGAGCGAGGGCUCAUUUCCCGCAAGGGAGAUGAGUUCCUAGCGGCGAACGGGUGAGUAACACGUGGGCAACCUUUCCUAUCGCGGGGGAUAACAGCGGGAAACCGCUGCUAAUACCGCAUGUCGUCAUCGGUCGCAUGGCCGGUGAAAAAAGCAGCAAUGCACGAUGGGGUGGGCCCGCGGCCUAUCAGCUAGUCGGUGGGGUAACGGCCUACCGAGGCGAUGACGGGUAGCUGG